ensembl:lncRNA
GAAAGUGAGAGGCCCAGUAAGAGAGCUGAGGGUAAAGUGGGCUCCCAGUUAGCAAAAUUCAAACAUAAAUGACCCAAAAACUCAUUUAUGAGGUAAAUUAGGCCCUAAAUAACAGAUCUAUGAGGUAAACUAGGCCUCAUGUGAGAGAAAUUCUGUCAUAAAUGACCCAAAGUGCACUUAUGAGGUAAGUGAGAGGCCCAGUAAGAGAGCUGUGAGGUAAACUGGGCUCCCAGUAAGAGAUAUAUGAAGUAAACUGGGAUCCUAGUAAGCAGAAUUCUGACAUAAUUCACCAAAAAUCACAUUUAUGAGGUAAAUAAGGGCCCAAAUAACAGAUCUAUGAGGUAAAUUAGGCCUUAUGUGAGAAAAAUCCUGUCAGAAAUGGACCAAAGUGCACUUAUGAGGAAAGUGAGAGGCCCAGUAAGAGAGCUGAGGGUAAAGUGGGCUCCCAGUUAGCAAAAUUCAAACAUAAAUGACCCAAAAACUCAUUUAUGAGGUAAAUUAGGCCCUAAAUAACAAAUCUAUGAGGUAAAUUUGACCCUAUGUGAGGAAAAUCCUGUCAUAAAUGACCCAAAGUGCACUUACGAGUUAAGUGAGAGGCCCAGUAAGAGCUGUGAGGUAAACUGGGCUCCCAGUAAGAGAUAUAUGAGGUAAACUCAGCUCCCAGUAAGCAAAAAUCUGAUAUAACUCACCAACAAUCACAUUUAUGAGGUAAAUAAGGCCCCAAAUAACAGACCUAUGAGGUAAAUUAGGCCCUGUGUGAGAAAACCCCCACCACAGAAGCCCCGUAAGGCCCAGUGUGGUCAAUGGGCUCCCAUUAACUCAGCCUUAGACCCACGGAGACCCCCGGGAACCCAACAUGACGUCACCGAACGGCCCCCAAAUCCCCUUUUUUGAGCUCAUAUCGGUGCCGGCAAUGCGAUUUUUGAAUGUAAUUCGUAGCGCUGUGAGGUAACGCGGCCUCCCCUCCCCCCCCACCCUCAGCGUGAGGCCUACGCUCCAACCCGGCCUCCCAGUGCGGGCCUGGGGGGGAACACACAGCAAAGCCAACCCCCCCCCCCCCCCCCAACACCCCGUCCCACAGCAGCCCACAGCACGGAAACAGGAGUUAAAUAGAAAAGAAAAAAUAAGGGUAAAAAGGAGGAAAGAUACCAACCCAACCCCCCUCCACACGUACAUAAGGAGCCGCGGUCGGGCCCGGGUGGGGCCGGAACCAUUGCGGGGCUCGCGUAGAAGUGUGUGUGUGGGGGGGGG